UGAGGAAUAUUGGUCAAUGGGCGAGAGCCUGAACCAGCCAUCCCGCGUGCAGGAUGACGGCCCUAUGGGUUGUAAACUGCUUUUCCGCGCCAAGAAACCCCCCGACGUGUCGGGGGCUGACGGUAGCGCGGGAAUAAGCACCGGCUAACUCCGUGCCAGCAGCCGCGGUAAUACGGAGGGUGCAAGCGUUAUCCGGAUUCAUUGGGUUUAAAGGGUGCGCAGGCGGGGAAAUAAGUCAGUGGUGAAAUACUGCCGCUCAACGGUAGGGCUGCCAUUGAUACUGUUUUCUUGAGUAUGGUUGAGGCAGGUGGAAUGUGUUGUGUAGCGGUGAAAUGCAUAGAUAUGACACAGAACGCCGAUUGCGAAGGCAACUUGCUAAGCCAUCACUGACGCUGAGGACAC
rnacentral:rRNA from 1 species